UGUGCCCACGGACGCGGCACGGUCGACACGGACGAUGACCAGGACAUCGCAGGACGCGAUUCAUCAGGACGAUGACAAGGAAUACAGGGACCAGGGACGAAAAGUGGGCGGGCAACCGCCCCUUUUUUU
rnacentral:sRNA from 1 species